rnacentral:rRNA from 1 species
GACGAACGCUGGCGGCGUGCUUAACACAUGCAAGUCGAACGGUGAAGCGCUUGCCUUUUUGGUGGGUGUGGAUGAGUGGCGAACGGGUGAGUAACACGUGAGUAACCUGCCCUCUUCUUCUGGAUAACCUCAUGAAAGUGGGGCUAAUACGGGGUAUUCCGGGUCUGUCGCAUGGCGGGUUUGGGAAAGAUUGCGCCUUUGGGUGUUUUCGGUGGGGGAUGGGCUCGCGGCCUAUCAGCUUGUUGGUGGGGUGAUGGCCUACCAAGGCGGUGACGGGUAGCCGGCCUGAGAGGGUGGACGGCCACACUGGGACUGAGACACGGCCCAG